rnacentral:rRNA from 1 species
UGGUGGAGUGAUUUGUCUGGUUAAUUCCGUUAACGAACGAGACCUCGACCUGCUAAAUAGUUCGGCGAAUUCUUCGGGAUUCGCGCGCGACUUCUUAGAGGGACUAUCGGUGCGUAGCCGAUGGAAGUUCGAGGCAAUAACA